CUCCGGCCUCGGCCAGCCCAGAAAGGGGCUCCCACAGGGCAGCGGCGGGCUGAAGGGCUCCUCAAGUGCCGCCAAAGUGGGAGCCCGGGCAGAGGAGGCGCCCAGAGCGAGCGAGGGCUGUGAGGACUGCCACACGCUGUCACCUCUCACUUACAGUGAGUUUCCUCCACAAUUUUCCAGGCUUCACUCAACACCAAAUCCCAGGCAUCAUAAAGCUGACAGAGUGGACUGUGAAACCAAUUCAUCGUGUGGCCUGUCCAAUGAAUUACAUUUACUCCCAAUUCUGAAAGGUGCUUUAAAACAAACACAAGAGGAGCCAGCACUUCUCUCAUUAGAUUACCAGUAGGCGGAAACCUUGGGCUUUAUGUGAAAAAGUCCCACUUUACCAACCUGAAGAGCAUCUUACCUCGAAAGCAUUCAUCAGGACAGUGGCUCCCAAUUGUUUGGAAGUCUGAGAAGCUUCAAGAGGGAGGAAGUUUGAUUUAAUGAUAUCACGUAGUGUGAGGGUUAAUUUUAUGUUUCAACUUGACUGGUCUACGGUGUGUCCAGAUGCAGUCCUGCAUGGGGUAUCAACAUUUCAGGAAGUCCUAGCAAGAGCAGUCAGGAAGGAGAAAGAGAUAAAAGACAUCCAAAUAGGAAGAGAGGAAGUCAAACUGUCUCUUUGCUGAUGAUAUAAUUCGGUACUUAGAAAACUCCAUAGUCUCUGCCCAAAUGCUCCUAGAUAUGAUAAACAACUUCAAGAAAGUUUCAAGAUACAAAAUCAGUGUACAAAAAUCAGUAGCAUUUCUACACAUGAAUAACGUCCAAGCUGAGAUCCAAAUCAAGAACACAAUCCCAUUCACAGUAGCCACUAAAAGAAUAAAAUACCUGGGAAUAUAGCCAACCAUGGAGGUGAAAGAUCUCUACAAUGAGAAUUACAAAGCACUGCUCAAAGAAAUCAGAGAUGACACAAACAAAUGGGAGAAUAUUCCAUGCUCAUGGAUAAGAAGAAUAAAUAUUGUCAAAAUGGCCAUACGGCCCAAAGCAAUCUGCAGGUUCAAUGCUAUUUCUAUCAAACUACCAAUGACAUUUUUCACAGAGUUAGAAAAUACUAUUUUAAUAUUCACAUGGAACAAAAAAUGAGCCCGAAUAGCCAAAGUAAUCCUAAGCAAAAAGAACAAAGCCAGAGACAUCAAUCAUACUAUGCAGCUUCAAACUAUACUACAGGGCUACAGUAACCAAAACAGCAUGGUACUGGUACAAGAACAGACACAUAGACCAGUGGAACACAAUAGAGAGCCCGGAAACAAUGCCAUAUACCUAUAACCAUCUAACCUUUGACAAAGUGGACAAAAGCACACGAUGGGGAAAGGAAUUCCCGUUCAAUAAAUGGUGCUGGGAUAACUGGCUAGCCAUAUGCAUAAGAUUAAAACUGGGCUAUUUCCUUUAUCAAGAUGGAUUAAAGACUUCAAUGUAAAACCUAAAACUAUUAUAAUUCUAGAAAAAAUAACUAGGAAAUACCAUUCUGUAUAUAGUCCCUGGCAAAGGUUUCAUGACAAAGAUGGCAAAAGCAAUGGCAACAAAAAC
rnacentral:lncRNA from 10 species